UCGACCUCGACCACGACACCUACCGGCGCAGACUACGUCAUACUCAGUGACUACCCGCCGCGGCUGCUGCGCCACGUGCGCGACCUGCAAGUCAACAAGGGCAACGGCCGCCCCAUGGCCGUGCACGAGCGCUCCCGGAACUUCGUGCCGUCGUCUAAGAAGCCGCCGAAGCAGUAUGCACCCGGCAUUCGCGGCGGGUUGAUGUCUCCAGGAGGUAAUGACAUUUAUUCAAUUCAAUUUUCCCUACCUUCAGCAAAGUUUAGAAUAAUUUAAAAAAAAGAGUUUGGCUUUACAAAGGAAACUGUACAAUAUUUAUGAACGAUCGGAAUCCUCAGGAUCCAAAUGCCAUUGAUAAUUCCUGUGAUCAGUCAAAAGCUUUUCAUUGCGUUAAACAUAAAACUACUAACUAAAGAAAGAAAUUAUGGUAUAUACACUUUGAGCUCAAUAAAAUUUUGCCUUUCUUUAAUUAUAGGACAAUAUGAAAAAGUGUGCAUUGACAACACCAAGUCAGUAGGCUAAAAUAUUAUAAUUGGUGUCGCACAGGGUUUAACCUU
rnacentral:misc_RNA from 1 species